rnacentral:misc_RNA from 1 species
UUAACUAUUUUAUAGUACUCAGACGACAUUUGAUACAGAGUUGUGUCCUCUGGCGGGCACGAUCCAGCCGAAGCCGGUGCUUGCGCGGCCCACCAAAGCAACAAAUUAAGAUAAUCAAGGGUUAGAAGGACCGGUUUCCCGGCUUCAUUUUUAAUGAUCCUUCCGCAGGUUCACCUACGGAAA